CCAAGGCUACGAUGGGUAGGGGGCCUGAGAGGGUGGUCCCCCACACUGGUACUGAGACACGGACCAGACUCCUACGGGAGGCAGCAGUGAGGAAUAUUGGUCAAUGGAGGAAAUCUGAACCAGCCAUGCCGCGUGAAGGAUGACGGCCCUAUGGGUUGUAAACUUCUUUUAUAGAGGAAGAAACUUGUCUACGUGUAGACAACUGACCGCACUC
rnacentral:rRNA from 1 species